rnacentral:misc_RNA from 1 species
GAUGAAGAACGCAGCGAAAUGCGAUGAGUAAUGUGAAUUGCAGAAUUCAGUGAAUCAUCGAAUCUUUGAACGCACAUUGCGCCCAUUAGUAUUCUAGUGGGCAUGCCUGUUCGAGCGUCAUUAAGUCCACUUAAGCCCUGCUUAGUGUUGGGAGACUGCUCCAGCGGUGCUACCCUGUAGCUACCCUGCAGCUCCUCAAAGACAGCGGCGGAGUUGUGGUAUCCUCUGAGCUUAGUAACUUGUUCUAGCUUUCGAGUACACCACUUCCCCUGCCGUAAAACCCUUAAUUUUUAAUGGUUGACCUCGGAUCAGGUAGGAAUACCCGCUGAACUUAAGCAUAUCAAUAAGCGGAGGA